ACGAACGCUGGCGGCGUGGAUAAGACAUGCAAGUCGAACGGGAUUUUCUCUGGUAGCAAUACCGGGGAAAAUUUAGUGGCGAACGGGUGCAGUAACACGUGGGGAAUCUGCCGAGAAGUGGGGGAUAGCUCGUCGAAAGGCGAAUUAAUACCGCAUACGAUCAGGGACGACAUCGUUCCAACAUCAAAGCCGGGGCAACCUGGCGCUUCUUGAUGACCCCGCGGCCUAUCAGCUAGUUGGUGAGGGUAACGGCCCACCAAGGCGAUGACGGGUAGCUGGUCUGAGAGGACGACCAGUCACACUGGAACUGAGACACGGUCCAGACACCUACGGGUGGCAGCAGUCGAGAAUUUUUCUCAAUGGGGGAAACCCUGAAGGAGCGACGCCGCGUGGAGGAUGAAGGCUUUCGGGUUGUAAACUCCUGUCAUUUGAGAACAAUGCCCCGGCAUUAACUGUGUCGGGGUUGAUAGUAUCAGAAGAGGAAGGGACGGCUAACUCUGUGCCAGCAGCCGCGGUAAUACAGAGGUCCCAAGCGUUGUUCGGAUUCAUUGGGCGUAAAGGGUGCGUAGGUGGCGUCGGUAAGUCGGGUGUGAAAUCUCGGAGCUUAACUUCCGAAACUGCAUUCGAUACUGCCGGUGCUUGAGGACUGGAGAGGAGACUGGAAUUUACGGUGUAGCAGGUGAAAUGCGUAGAGAUCGUAAGGAAGACCAGUGGCGAAGGCGGGUCUCUGGACAGUUCCUGACACUGAGGCACGAAGGUCAGGGGAGCAAACGGGAUUAGAUACCCCGGUAGUCCUGGACAGUAAACGGUGCACGUUUGGUGUGGGAGGAUUCGACCCCUUCUGCGCCGGAGCUAACGCGUUAAACGUGCCGCCUGGGGAGUACGGUCGCAAGAUUAAAACUCAAAGAAAUUGACGGGGGCCCGCACAAGCGGUGGAGUAUGUGGCUCAAUUCGAUGCAACGCGAAGAACCUUACCUGGCCUUGACAUGCAUCUGCUAAGCUGGUGAAAGCCAGCUGAGUGUCCGCAAGGACAACUUGCACAGGUGCUGCAUGGCUGUCGUCAGCUCGUGUCGUGAGAUGUUGGGUUAAGUCCCGCAACGAGCGCAACCCCUGUGAACUGUUGCCACGUACCUAGAUUGGCCAGCACUCUGUUCAGACUGCCCCUGCUCGAAACGGGGAGGAAAGGUGGGGACGACGUCAAGUCAGUAUGGCCCUUACGGCCAUGGGCUGCACACGUACUACAAUGCCCAGUACAGAACGAUCCAGAGACCGCGAGGUGGAGGAAAUCACGUAAAACUGGGCCUCAGUUCAGGAUUGAAGGCUGCAACUCGACUUCAUGAAGCCGGAAUCGCUAGUAAUGGCGUAUCAGCUACGACGCCGUGAAUACGUUCCCGGGCCUUGUACACACCGCCCGUCACAUCAUGGGAGUCGCUUGUAGCCGAAGUCGGCGCGCUAACUAGCAAUAGAGGCAGCCGCCUACGCUAUGAACGGUAACUGGGAUG
rnacentral:rRNA from 1 species